rnacentral:rRNA from 1 species
UUUAACGACCGCGGUAUCCUAUCCGUGCAAAGGUAGCGCAAUCAAUUGUCCCAUAAAUCGAGACUUGUAUGAAUGGCUAAACGAGGUCUUAACUGUCUCUUGCAGGCAAUCGGUGAAAUUGAUCUCCCUGUGCAAAAGCAGGGAUAACCACAUAAGACGAGAAGACCCUGUGGAACUUAAAAAUCAGCAGCCACCCUAAAUCACACACACACCCACUGGGUACACGCACCUAAAAGGAGCUGGCCUGCAUUUUUCGGUUGGGGCGACCUUGGAGAAAAGCAAAUCCUCCAAAAAUUGGACCAUAACUCUAGACCAAGAGCGACUACUCAACGUGCUAAUAGCAUCCAGAUCCAAUACAAUUGAUCAAUGGACCAAGCUACCCCAGGGAUAACAGCGCAAUCUCCUCCGAGAGUCCAUAUCGACGGGGAGGUUUACGACCUCGAUGUUGGAUCAGGACAUCCUAGUGGUGCAGCAGCUACUAA